GAUGAACGCUAGCGACAGGCUUAACACAUGCAAGUCGAGGGGCAUCGGGACGUAGCAAUACGUUGCCGGCGACCGGCGGAUGGGUGAGUAACGCGUAUGCAACCUGCCCACGACAGGGGGAUAGCCCGUUGAAAGACGGAUUAAUACCCCAUAAAACAGGGGUUCCGCAUGGGACUAUUUGUUAAAGGGUUUUCCGCGAGGGGGAUCCGGUUGUGGAUGGGCAUGCGUUCCAUUAGGCAGUUGGUGGGGUAACGGCUCACCAAACCGACGAUGGAUAGGGGAACCGGGAGGUUGGUCCCCCACACUGGUACUGAGAUACGGACCAGACUCCUACGGGAGGCAGCAGUGAGGAAUUUUGGUCAAUGGACGGAAGUCUGAACCAGCCAAGUCGCGUGAAGGAAGGCGGCCCUAAGGGUUGAAACUUCUUUUGUAAAGGGAAUAAAGGCCGGUACGCGUUACCGGUUUGCAGGUACCUUACGAAUAAGGAUCGGUAACUCCGUG
rnacentral:rRNA from 1 species